CCCCAAAUUGGUGUGGUUUAACAUUUGCCAAAAAAGAGAGGUGUAGUCCAAGCAUCUUAAGAUAUUUAUCUUAAGGAACAUUCCCAAGAAGGGGCAAACAGGAGAUGCCAGGAAUUAAGGGUAUUUGGACUUGGACACAGGGAUGGAAACCCUUCGUUUUCCGUGCACCAUAUGCAGAGAGCCAAAAGCGGUAGCAUGGAGGGAACUCCCAACCAAGAACAUGAAGAAAAGCUUGUCCUCAAAGAGCUAAAUCAGCAAGUCUAUUUGUGAUAUCAGAUAGGGGAUCUAUGAUUCUAGUUCUUCAUGGUCUGGUCUCACCAAGACUGUUGAAAUGUGUUUGAAAACACCCAAGAUGCAGUAAAGGGGACCCAAGGAUCACCACUGGAAAGGACUUAAAUUGUGACUGCAAUCAGGAAACAAAACCCCAGGACUAUGGCCAUGUUUUCCCAUACAGAGAAUGAGAAGCAACGGAAAUCUGUGUGAGAGAGAGGAAAGAGCAAGACCAGCAGGGGCCAACACAGAGCGAUCAGCCGUGGAUUUCCACUCCCUGCUUCCAGCUUGAGCAUGGCUUGCAUUUCUGCACUUGGAUUUCCAGAGACACUCCCUUACCUUUAAAACAAACUUCCCCCUUUUUGCUUAAGCCAGCUCAGAUCAGUUUCUGUUUUUUGCAACUAGUGGACUCCCGCCUCAUAAAGAGAUCCAUCCCAGGAUUUGCGAUGUUCCUUUUCUUCUUAUAGAUAACCUCUGUUUUGAGACUUUUCUGCCCACAGGAAUGGUUUGGUGAUUGUAAACACAGAUGAACU
rnacentral:lncRNA from 1 species